GUAUCCUGGCUCAGAUUGAACGCUGGCGGAAUGCUUUACACAUGCAAGUCGAACGGUAGAGGGAGCAACCCUUGAGAGUGGCGAACGGGUGAGUAAUAUAUCGGAACGUGCCCAGUCGUGGGGGAUAACGUAGCGAAAGCUACGCUAAUACCGCAUACGAUCUAUGGAUGAAAGCGGGGGAUCGCAAGACCUCGCGCGAUUGGAGCGGCCGAUAUCAGAUUAGGUAGUUGGUGAGGUAAAGGCUCACCAAGCCGACGAUCUGUAGCUGGUCUGAGAGGACGACCAGCCACACUGGGACUGAGACACGGCCCAGACUCCUACGGGAGGCAGCAGUGGGGAAUUUUGGACAAUGGGCGCAAGCCUGAUCCAGCAAUGCCGCGUGCAGGAUGAAGGCCUUCGGGUUGUAAACUGCUUUGUACGGAACGAAACGGUGAGCUCUAAUACAGUUUGCUAAUGACGGUACCGUAAGAAUAAGCACCGGCUAACUACGUG
rnacentral:rRNA from 1 species